rnacentral:rRNA from 1 species
AGUCGAGCGGGCGUAGCAAUACGUCAGCGGCAGACGGGUGAGUAACGCGUGGGAACGUACCUUUUGGUUCGGAACAACACAGGGAAACUUGUGCUAAUACCGGAUAAGCCCUUACGGGGAAAGAUUUAUCGCCGAAAGAUCGGCCCGCGUCUGAUUAGCUAGUUGGUGAGGUAAUGGCUCACCAAGGCGACGAUCAGUAGCUGGUCUGAGAGGAUGAUCAGCCACAUUGGGACUGAGACACGGCCCAAACUCCUACGGGAGGCAGCAGUGGGGAAUAUUGGACAAUGGGGGCAACCCUGAUCCAGCCAUGCCGCGUGAGUGAUGAAGGCCCUAGGGUUGUAAAGCUCUUUUGUGCGGGAAGAUAAUGACGGUACCGCAAGAAUAAGCCCCGGCUAACUUCGUGCCAGCAGCCGCGGUAAUACGAAGGGGGCUAGCGUUGCUCGGAAUCACUGGGCGUAAAGGGUGCGUAGGCGGGUCUUUAAGUCAGGGGUGAAAUCCUGGAGCUCAACUCCAGAACUGCCUUUGAUACUGAAGAUCUUGAGUUCGGGAGAGGUGAGUGGAACUGCGAGUGUAGAGGUGAAAUUCGUAGAUAUUCGCAAGAACACCAGUGGCGAAGGCGGCUCAC